UCUUCUUAUCUCUUUUCUCUCAUUCUCAACCCACCCUGCCAUUACUAAACCUUGCACAAGUGCAAGGUCACUGAAGAUGAUCAAGGCUCAUCAUUUCCCUCACAUGUUAGCCGCAAAUCCUGUUGAGUAUUCCUUUUUCGCUCACCCAAUUUUGAAUUUCAAGCCCCGAAACCUUACACCAAAAUGUAAAAGAGUAAGAAUCUCAUUUUCUUCCUCUGCUUGUUCAAUCGUCACAUGCAGCCAUGGAUUCAUUAGAAUCUUGACCGCAUCAUGAUGGUCGGUGGUCCAGAGGUCAAACGCAAUGACCUCUAGAUAUUGGCUUUGCCCGGCGGUCCGAUUGGUUUCAACGGCUAGUUCACUCAUUGUUUUAGGGAGGUAAAAAUCUUUACCCCUUUUCCCUUCCUGAUUUCGUCACUUCUCAGUCAUCAGUGCUCAUCAUCAUCUCACAGAUUUUCAAAAUUUGAGUGAAAUCCUAAGUCUCAAUUGUAGCUAUAAAUAGAGGGUUUUAAUGCCCUCACCAAACACACGAACUACCAUAGGAAGCCUAGUAAAUGCUCUCUUCUUAAAUACUUAAAAAACUUUCUCUAAUCUCCUUUCUUUAUUUUCAAUUUUUGCUCGAGUGCAACUACUGAGAAUUGAUUGUGAACUUUAGUUCCUAAACGGCUAAGAAUGGUUACUUGGUUUGUUGCCUCGAAGAAUGUCAGUGGACCACUGAUCUCCCUUUAAUUAUUCAUUCAUUUCAUAUAUUAUCAUGUUGUCUCGUUUGUCUGGUGUUUUUUGUUAAUUGCUUGCCUAUGCUUCAUCGUGAUACUCAUCAGCCAAGCAUGAAACUUUCAAUUGUGUUCUGCUGCUUGUGUUAUUUUUCACUUAAUCAACUGAUACUCCCUGCUAAUAGUUAUGUUUAUCCCCUAUGUUGUUUAAAUCAGUAUUUUCUGGUGAUCAUUGAAUUUUGUUUCUCAUACCUAUAUUAUCAUGGUAUAUUGCUUAACUAAUUGAAUGAUUUUCAUGCUUAUAUUAUUGUGUUGUGUUGUCUAAUUGAGUGAUCCUUGUUGACAGUCAUCACCAUGUUAAUCUGCUUAACUAAUUGAAUGCCCCUCACUGAUAGUCAUGCCUAUGUUAUCAUGUUGAUCUGCUUAGUUAAUCAAAUAGGUCCAGUUGACAGUCAUGCUUAUUGUACCCCAUUGUUCUAUUCAGAAUGAUCUAUGUUACAAGACAUGUUUGUUUAUCAUGAUAACUUGAAUAUGACAAACUUGUCUACCUAGCUUGGCAUGUUUAUACUUUAGAGCUUAAUAUGUGACCCGGUUUGCUUGAAUAAACAAAAAAAUGCUGAUUUACAAUUCCAUGUCUACCUAGCUUGACAGUCAUGCUUAUUGUACCCCAUUGUUCUAUUCAGAAUGAUCUAUGUUACAAGACAUGUUUGUUUAUCAUGAUAACUUGAAUAUGACAAACUUGUCUACCUAGCUUGGCAUGUUUAUACUUUAGAGCUUAAUAUGUGACCCGGUUUGCUUGAAUAAACAAAAAAAUGCUGA
rnacentral:lncRNA from 1 species